rnacentral:rRNA from 1 species
UACGAGGGCCUCAAGCGUUAUCCGGAAUCAUUGGGCGUAAAGGGUGUGUAGGUGGUCUUGCUAGUCUCGUGUUAAAUUCUUCAGCUUAACCGGGGGCAUGCACGGGAAACGGCAGGACUAGAGGAUGCGAGAGGUCUGCGGAACUCAUAGUGUAGCGGUGAAAUGCGUUGAUAUUAUGGGGAACACCAAAAGCGAAGGCAGCAGACUGGGGCACUCCUGACACUGAAACACGAAAGCGUGGGUAGCGAAUGGG